CCGCCCUCCAUUCUUUCCUAUGGGGCCACCAAAAAUAGCCGAGCGCUGGCUCGGCUACUUCCGUCAGCCCAAUAGAAAUUAAUGGGAGCGGUGGCCGCGCAAGUGCGGUGCGCUCCCAUUCGCUUGUAUGGGGAGAACGCUUGGCGGUGGCCAGACCCUGGGAAACCCCGGAAAGGGGGGGUUCUCCA